GACAGAGGGUGCAAACGUUGCUCGGAAUCACUGGGCGUAAAGGGCGUGUAGGCGGGUAGAUAAGUCGGGCGUGAAAUCCCUAGGCUCAACCUAGGAACUGCACUCGAAACUGUUUAUCUUGAGUGCCGGAGAGGAAAGCGGAAUUCCAGGUGUAGCGGUGAAAUGCGUAGAUAUCUGGAGGAACACCGGUGGCGAAGGCGGCAUCCUGGACCGAGAUUGACGCUGAGGCGCGAAAGCCAGGGGAGCAAACGGG
rnacentral:rRNA from 1 species